UCCAGACAAGCAACAGUUAUCCAUGAAGCUGUAGUCAGAGAGACUGUGGAUGAUGGGUUGUCUCGUGGUCACCGGGGUUCUUCUUGUGAUUCUACUGUUCCAUCCUCCAGCAGCUCAGAUGGAGAGCCCAGAUACAGACGUGGAGGCCGUGAGAUUCGAAGAGUUUUGUCUGAAAAUCUCUGAUGAUUCGCACUGUACAACCGCUGAACCAGAGCCCAGACAAACGGUUACCAACAAGGAGGCAGCUGAGAGCACACAACUGGCAAUGUCUUCCCCGUCGGACGACAAGGAAGAUAUAAACUCCACUCGUCAACUGGCUGUCAAUUCUUCAUCACUUGUGGCAAACUUCAUGGGCAUCCCACCAGGCCAUGGGGAACUGGGGCCGAUAGAGAGGAAAGGGUGUCACUGCAAGACGUGGCAGGAACACACAACUGACCGG
ensembl:lncRNA